rnacentral:rRNA from 1 species
GACGAACGCUGGCGGCGUGCCUAACACAUGCAAGUCGAACGGAGAAUUUCAAUAAGUUUACUUAGCGAAAUUUUUAGUGGCGGACGGGUGAGUAACGCGUGGGUAACCUACCCAUAAAGCCGGGACAACCCUUGGAAACGAGGGCUAAUACCGGAUACCCUUAAGAGUUGGCAUCAACUUUUAAGAAAAGGUGGCCUCUGAACAUGCUACCGAUUAUGGAUGGACCCGCGUCUGAUUAGCUAGUUGGUGGGGUAAAGGCCUACCAAGGCGACGAUCAGUAGCCGGCCUGAGAGGGUGAACGGCCACACUGGGACUGAGACACGGCCCAGACUCCUACGGGUGGCUG